rnacentral:rRNA from 1 species
UGGGNAAUUUGGACAAUGGGCGCAAGCCUGAUCCAGCAAUGCCGCGUGAGUGAAGAAGGCCUUCGGGUUGUAAAGCUCUUUUGUCAGGGAAGAAACGGUUCAGGCUAAUAUCCUGGGCUAAUGACGGUACCUGAAGAAUAAGCACCGGCUAACUACGUGCCAGCAGCCGCGGUAAUACGUAGGGUGCAAGCGUUAAUCGGAAUUACUGGGCGUAAAGCGUGCGCAGGCGGUUUUGUAAGUCUGUCGUGAAAGCCCCGGGCUUAACCUGGGAAUUGCGAUGGAGACUGCAAGGCUUGAAUCUGGCAGAGGGGGGUAGAAUUCCACGUGUAGCAGUGAAAUGCGUAGAGAUGUGGAGGAACACCGAUGGCGAAGGCAGCCCCCUGGGUCAAGAUUGACGCUCAUGCACGAAAGCGUGGGGAGCAAACAGGAUUAGAUACCCUGGUAGUCCACGCCCUAAACGAUGUCUACUAGUUGUCGGGUCUUAAUUGACUUGGUAACGCAGCUAACGCGUGAAGUAGACCGCCUGGGGAGUACGGUCGCAAGAUUA